CAGCCUGAGUAAGCCCAUGGUCAGGAGCAGAGUAUGGAACAUGGUCUCUCCAGAAAAGCUUUUGUACAAGCAGCCCAGUGUCUUGAUGGGAGUGGACAUGCAGCAAGCAAACCCAGUGAUGCUACUGGUCACUCAUCUACAGUUGUGACACAGACUCUUGAGAAAGCCUUUAAAAGGCAGGCUGCUUAUGCACCCAUUUAAAAGGCAGGCUGCUUAUGCACCCAUUUAAAAGGCAGGCUGCUUAUGCACCCAUUUAAAAGGCAGGCUGCUUAUGCACCCAUUUAAAAAGGCAGGCUGCUUAUGCACCCAUUUAAAAGGCAGGCUGCUUAUGCACCCAUUUAAAAGGCAGGCUGCUUAUGCACCCAUUUAAAAGGCAGGCUGCUUAUGCACCCAUUUAAAAGGCAGGCUGCUUAUGCACCCAUUUAAAAGGCAGGCUGCUUAUGCACCCAUUUAAAAGGCAGGCUGCUU